GACGAAUUCUUUCCCGCUGAGAAACUUACCACUAUUCGUCGAUAUCAGCCAACAUCUGAUGAUAUAGAACUGUUCAAACUGUAUUCCGACAAGAAAUCGACACUAGAUCCUGUCGACAGGUUUAUGUGUGAACUGUGUGAAAUUGAAUAUAUUGGAACUCGACUGGAUUUGAUUCUACUACUUUGGGAUUUUCCAAGACAGUUGAGAUGUACUCAUGAAUCUCUAGAGGAACUUUCACAAGCGUGUUCGGACCUGAAGACUAAUACUUACCUUGUGCAGUUGAUGGAGUAUAUCCUUGCCGUUGGGAAUGUUAUGAAUAGUAGUCAUAAAACACAUGGGUUUCCAUUAACCUCUUUAAGGAUGUUCAUGGAUAUGCGAGGCAAAACAACAGAUUUUACAUUUUCACAUUUCCUCGUGGUAAUGUUGGAAGAAAAGGACCCAGAGAUCAUUAAAUGGACCGGUACAAUGGACAGUGUAAUCAGAUGUAAAGACAUUAACAUCAAGGCCCUUGUUACUGAAGUAGAAGUUUUGAAAAGUGACCUUACAAAACUAAAAAAGAACCUCAAACAUUUGAAAUCGAAGAUAAAGAAACCAAACGAAAUGGAGACGGACUUCUUACAUAAAGCACAGGUGCUUUUCUGUUCUUAAAAUUAGUCUUUUUAUACCAGUGCAUACUAUAUUACUCAUCGUUUAAAUGCUAAGUUUGUGAUAAUUUUCUAAUCAACCAGCAUAAACUGGUGGAGUUUGAAAACAGUAUGAAUUCAUUAGAGAAAGAGAGUACCAACAUACAGACCACAUAUCGUCAUCUUUUGGAAUACUUUGGAGAAGUAAGCAGCCUUCCGUCAAAUGAACUGUUCUCUGUCUUGUCCGACUUUGCCGUUAAAUUCAGGAAGGCGACAGAGGACAUUGAUAGGAAAAAACGUUACCAAACACUCCGCCAUUUCUAAGGUAAUCAGAGUGUGAUCAGAGAACGACAAAUUACCAAAAGUGACGACUUACUACAACUAGAAAGAAAGAACACAUCUUUUACCUCGAAAAUACGACCACGCACUAAAAAGAUGAGAUAAAAAAAAGAACAUGUGAAAUUAUAGAGACUAAUUAUUUUUAAAAACUGCAAAGAUGAUGAAUAUCAUCAUAAUGGUGUACAGUGUAUUAUUAAAACUUUUUAUUGCUUGUAUAAUAAAUAAUUGAAAAAAUCAAAUG
rnacentral:misc_RNA from 1 species